UAUGUGGUUUAAUUCGAUGCAACGCGAAGAACCUUAACCUGGUCUUGACAUCCCGGAGACCCUUAGGAAACUAGGGGGUGCUUCCAUCUGGAAGAAUCUGGAGACAGGUGCUGCAUGGCUGUCGUCAGCUCGUGUCGUGAGAUGUUGGGUUAAGUCCCGCAACGAGCGCAACCCUUGCCUUUAGUUGCCAGCAGUUCGGCUGGGCACUCUAAAGGGACUGCCGGUGUUAAACCGGAGGAAGGUGGGGAUGACGUCAAGUCCUCAUGGCCUUUAUGACCAGGGCUACACACGUACUACAAUGGCCGAUACAAAGGGCAGCGACACUGCGAGGUGAAGCCAAUCCCGUAAAAUCGGUCUCAGUCCGGAUUGGAGUCUGCAACUCGACUCCAUGAAGUUGGAAUCGCUAGUAAUCGUGGAUCAGCAUGCCACGGUGAAUACGUUCCCGGGCCUU
rnacentral:rRNA from 1 species